GAUGAUAAUGUCAUGUAUUUUAUAUGUACUUUCAGUUAGUGUGUCUUGUGUAGAAACUCUUGUUACUUUUAUAGUAUUGCUGGUUUUCCAAAUCUAAUUACCUUUGUGGUUCAGUGUUGCAUAUAUUACAGAGAACUGAGUAACUACAAAGCCUCAUUUGUCUUAUUUUUCUCCUUCUUAAGAAUUUGACAAGUAUCAAUAUCAUUCUUUUGAUUAACUGAUAGCAUGAUAAGGACAUGGACUAAUAUGCAUGUGUCUGUCUGCCAAAUACUUAGGCCGGAUUGCAGCAGCACAAAGAAAGAAAAGAAGAGGCUCUUCUAACAGUUCAGAGCCUCAUCCAUCUGUUGGAGCAGCAGCUGAUCACACGCUUUCUGCAGUGGCUCCCUUGUGCACCCAAACCUCUCCAGCAAGCUACAAGUGCCAACCAUGCAGCACCCAGUCUUUAGCCGUCAUCACAAUUUCAAAGAUUAUUCUAGUCUUGUGACACUCAGUCAUCACCCACAGGGUUCAUUCAUUUCUAAUCUUACAUUUCUCAGCUAGAGAUUACCCAAUGAUAAUUAGAUCAUGAUUGUUAAUUGAUACCUUUCAUUUCUGUUAUAACAGUAUUUCUAUCAGUUUUGGGAACAGGGGGUACUAUUUAUUUUUACCAUGAAUGACUUGAUAGCUAUCACUUUUUGAACAAAAUCUUUAUUCCUGAGAUCAGUUCAAAUGAUUCUCCUUUUGUUUUGAGGUUACAUUUGUAUUUGAUAUAUUGUUAGGUCUUUCCCUGAGAUCACACAUUCUCGGAAAGAACGUGUAUCAUUAAACCUGGUUCAGUAAGAUAGUUAUUCUUUCUUUGUUUGUCAGUAGGAAAUAGUGGCACCAGGUCAUAGUUUGACAGAAGUAAUCAGCACAUUUUUAAGUUUCAAAUAGCUUUGUUCCUGUAAAUAUUAAACAGGUAGAUCAAAUGUGACUGUAAUUGUUCUCAUGAACCAAGUAGGCCUUAUGGUGUUUUGCUUCAUUGUCUUUUUUCAUGUCUGAUGCUGUAUGAACCUUUAAUAUCAAGCGAUAAUCUGCUGAGGACAAAUUGCAUUCAUCUUCUUUGAAGUUAAAAUUUUAUGGUGUGGAAUUACUUUUACUGGUCGCCCUACUCAAAAUUCAAGGAACUGUUUUCUUUGUGAAAAUGUGCAAUAAAUGUGUUUAUUGAGUGAUAAAUAGUUUUAAAGGGUGACAAAAGAGUUUUGUGACUUUUUUGUCAGAGAUAGGUGGUGAUGUAUUAUGUGUAUUCCACUCUACAGGGUGAGGGGGAAGGGAGUGUGCACUAAGUUCAAGAAAAUAUAGUAAUGAGCUUGUGUGUUUCCCUAAAUAAAUGCGACUCUUUGGCCUCCCAAUUUUUUGCAAAAAUAUUAUUAUCCAGUAAUUCUAUGAUGCAGGGAAUCCAAAAUGUGAAAGUCUAAGUUCUUUUAGACUGAACAAAACUUCAGUAUCAGUCCUUGAGUUUUUGGACUGUUGUAUUGACACAGUACACACUGCCACUUGUGUUCAGGUUACAGGUGAUGUGUAGAUUGAAGACUUACACCUAUGUUAAUAUUCUUGAUAAUGAGACCAAAAUUAUGUGUAAUUGAUAGUUUGCUUCUGUAGAAAUUUUGAACGCAGAAGUAUUUGAUAUCACUCAACAAGAUGUUUACACAGAAACACACUUGAAUUGGCAUUCCAGACCAUGAAAGGGAACCUGUUUUCUGAGGUAAAUGAUGACAGUUUGAUUUUAUUUGGAAUAAGAUGUUUUUUGUGACACAAUGAAUGUUUUCAUCUUUAGCUCAGAAUGUUAAGCUGUGGAUGAUGUUGCACAAUGUUGACACUAGGAGUGCUUGCUUUGUCUUUGUCAGUAUAUCUUGUUUGUAGUCUGUUACUUUAGUGAGUACAGGUUAUGCCAGACAGUUACAUUAAUUAUCUGUAUCAUAUUCCUGUGUUUGUAAUUUUUGUACCCAGGUAAUUUUAUUGUAUAUUACAUUGACACAUUCUCAUGUUGUCUCUGUGUGUAUUGCAUAUAUGCAUGAAAAUAUUUAGCAUGGCUAAAUGUUUAAUGAGCAUUUGGAUGAUAUCUCAGUUUAUUAGGUGCAGCUUUUUUUACAUAACUAUGUAACUUGAUAACAAGCUCAAUAUCACCAUAUCUCACUGCUAAUUCAUAUUUAUUACACCAGUAACAAUACUAUGUUAAUCACCCCAGCCAUUAAUUGUUAUAUGACAUGAUAUAUAUUUAUAAUUCUUCAAUACCGCAUUACAUAUGGUUAUAUUGAUGUAUACUGGGUUUUUUUUGUCAUGUAUGUUUAAUUCACUUGGCCGGAAAGGUUAUGUGAGCUUGUGUUGUCACAGGUGGUCAUCAGUAUCCUUGAAUUGUUUACAUAUUUAAGUUCUUAUCUGAAAUGGAUUCAGAAGAAGUUUUGUAAGGAUGCAUAUUACCAUAAAGGUUUAUUCAAGGCAUCAAAAUUUCAGUUUGGUUGCCAGUUGUAAUCUUUGGCGUAACACAAGCAAAAUGUGUCAGAGGCCGGAAAAUCGGUGGGUAACUAAAGUUUAUUAAAUAGUUGGGCUCCUGUCUCUUGCAAUAUUCCAACUUUUUCACUUUAGACCAUGCCCUUAUACUGUCACUAAAGACGUUUUCUCACUGUAAACAGUAUCUCAAACCUCACUGAAUGAGUGAGGCUUGUUCUCAGCAGUGACGGAAAGCUGAUUUGUGGAGGUCUCAAAUGUGAUUUUACAUACAUUUUGUGCACUAUGUAUGCCAAUAGUAGUAGUAAGGGUUAAGAUGUGUGUUCUGGUUUUUCUGUAUUUUGAAUUUUUACCUUUGCACAUUGAUCAUACUGAAAACUGAAACUUCUUAUUGACACUUCGGAAGAACAUUUUCAAUUUUGACCUUACCUUUUUCACCUUACAUUUUUAUCAUGCUUCAAAAUUCUCUCAUAAUGCAUUACCCCCCUGGAAACAUCUCACCA
rnacentral:lncRNA from 1 species